UGGUGGAGUGAUUUGUCUGGUUAAUUCCGUUAACGAACGAGACCUCGACCUGCUAAAUAGCGUGGCAAGCCUUCGGGCUUGUUCAUGACUUCUUAGAGGGACUUUGUGUUGUGAGCACAAGGAAGUUCGAGGCAAUAACA
rnacentral:rRNA from 1 species